rnacentral:lncRNA from 1 species
GGGAAGAAACAGAAUAGUAGAAACGAAACAGAGAGGGAAGGAAAGAAAGAAAGAAAAGAAAGAAAAAAAGCGAAAAUAUAAGGUUUGAAGCUUGAAGUUUAAUUUGCUAACGUUGUCUCGAGAAGUUUCGGCUAAGCAAGGAAAUAGCAAAGUCGACGAGGAAAAGCUUGAAAAAGCUCGAAAAAUACGGUUUGUAUUUCUAUAAUCUGAACUCAGUCAUUAUUUGUUAUAUUUAUAUACAGAUGACAAUUGUUAGUGUUAGAAUUAUGAUAUUUUACAAUUGAAAUGGAUUGAUUUUGGUAUGUGAUGAAUUUAUCAAAUUUAUAUUGAUUGAAAUAAUUUUGAUUGAAUUUAUAUUGAUUGAAAUAUAAUAUAUAUAUAUAUAUAUAUAUAUGAUUUAUGUAAAAAUUUGAAUAUUGAAUGAAUGUCAUAUUGAAAAAAAAUUAUAUUGAUUGGAAUAUGAUGGAAUUGAUAUGAAUAUAUGAGAUUUGUGAUAAUUGAAUAUUUGAUAUUGAAAAGUAAAUUGAGUUGUAUUGAAUUAUGAAUUAAUGUGAAUAAUUGAAAUAUAUUUGUUGAAUUGAAUGAAAAUAUAUGAAAUUAUGAAAAUGUGUGAAUAUAUGUGAUUAUUAGAAUGGUAUAUUGAUGAAAGAUUUAUUAAAUUGAGAAAGUGAAUCAAAUACCCUAUUAACAGUAUCGGACCAGAUUGGAUACAAAUGGCAUGCCAUUGGAUUUGUGAUGUGAUGGGGAGAUUUGUAGUUCGGCCGAGAAGAUGUUUCUGUUAUUAUAUACUUCGGUUUAUCCGAAGAGGCAUUUAAUGCCUUAUUGGUGUGUUUGGGAGGAUAUGAUAUACUGGUGUGUUAUGGAGGAUUUAUAAUAUUCUGGGUGUGUUUGGGUUGGAUAUUUUGGUGUGUUUGGGAGGAAUCCGCGUAUCUAUCAGAGUCCGAGUCUUGUUAAUAGGGGUA